rnacentral:rRNA from 1 species
UACGUAGGGUGCGAGCGUUAAUCGGAAUUACUGGGCGUAAAGCGUGCGCAGGCGGUUGUGCAAGACAGAUGUGAAAUCCCCGGGCUUAACCUGGGAAUUGCAUUUGUGACUGCACGGCUAGAGUGUGUCAGAGGGGGGUAGAAUUCCACGUGUAGCAGUGAAAUGCGUAGAUAUGUGGAGGAAUACCGAUGGCGAAGGCAGCCCCCUGGGAUAACACUGACGCUCAUGCACGAAAGCGUGGGGAGCAAACAGG